UUAAGCGACUAAGCGUACACGGUGGAUGCCCUGGCAGUCAGAGGCGAUGAAGGACGUGCUAAUCUGCGAUAAGCGUCGGUAAGGUGAUAUGAACCGUUAUAACCGGCGAUUUCCGAAUGGGGAAACCCAGUGUGUUUCGACACACUAUCAUUAACUGAAUCCAUAGGUUAAUGAGGCGAACCGGGGGAACUGAAACAUCUAAGUACCCCGAGGAAAAGAAAUCAACCGAGAUUCCCCCAGUAGCGGCGAGCGAACGGGGAGCAGCCCAGAGCCUGAAUCAGUGUGUGUGUUAGUGGAAGCGUCUGGAAAGGCGCGCGAUACAGGGUGACAGCCCCGUACACAAAAAUGCACAUACUGUGAGCUCGAUGAGUAGGGCGGGACACGUGGUAUCCUGUCUGAAUAUGGGGGGACCAUCCUCCAAGGCUAAAUACUCCUGACUGACCGAUAGUGAACCAGUACCGUGAGGGAAAGGCGAAAAGAACCCCGGCGAGGGGAGUGAAAAAGAACCUGAAACCGUGUACGUACAAGCAGUGGGAGCACGCUUAGGCGUGUGACUGCGUACCUUUUGUAUAAUGGGUCAGCGACUUAUAUUCUGUAGCAAGGUUAACCGAAUAGGGGAGCCGAAGGGAAACCGAGUCUUAACUGGGCGUUAAGUUGCAGGGUAUAGACCCGAAACCCGGUGAUCUAGCCAUGGGCAGGUUGAAGGUUGGGUAACACUAACUGGAGGACCGAACCGACUAAUGUUGAAAAAUUAGCGGAUGACUUGUGGCUGGGGGUGAAAGGCCAAUCAAACCGGGAGAUAGCUGGUUCUCCCCGAAAGCUAUUUAGGUAGCGCCUCGUGAAUUCAUCUCCGGGGGUAGAGCACUGUUUCGGCAAGGGGGUCAUCCCGACUUACCAACCCGAUGCAAACUGCGAAUACCGGAGAAUGUUAUCACGGGAGACACACGGCGGGUGCUAACGUCCGUCGUGAAGAGGGAAACAACCCAGACCGCCAGCUAAGGUCCCAAAGUCAUGGUUAAGUGGGAAACGAUGUGGGAAGGCCCAGACAGCCAGGAUGUUGGCUUAGAAGCAGCCAUCAUUUAAAGAAAGCGUAAUAGCUCACUGGUCGAGUCGGCCUGCGCGGAAGAUGUAACGGGGCUAAACCAUGCACCGAAGCUGCGGCAGCGACACUAUGUGUUGUUGGGUAGGGGAGCGUUCUGUAAGCCUGUGAAGGUGUACUGUGAGGUAUGCUGGAGGUAUCAGAAGUGCGAAUGCUGACAUAAGUAACGAUAAAGCGGGUGAAAAGCCCGCUCGCCGGAAGACCAAGGGUUCCUGUCCAACGUUAAUCGGGGCAGGGUGAGUCGACCCCUAAGGCGAGGCCGAAAGGCGUAGUCGAUGGGAAACAGGUUAAUAUUCCUGUACUUGGUGUUACUGCGAAGGGGGGACGGAGAAGGCUAUGUUGGCCGGGCGACGGUUGUCCCGGUUUAAGCGUGUAGGCUGGUUUUCCAGGCAAAUCCGGAAAAUCAAGGCUGAGGCGUGAUGACGAGGCACUACGGUGCUGAAGCAACAAAUGCCCUGCUUCCAGGAAAAGCCUCUAAGCAUCAGGUAACAUCAAAUCGUACCCCAAACCGACACAGGUGGUCAGGUAGAGAAUACCAAGGCGCUUGAGAGAACUCGGGUGAAGGAACUAGGCAAAAUGGUGCCGUAACUUCGGGAGAAGGCACGCUGAUAUGUAGGUGAAGUCCCUCGCGGAUGGAGCUGAAAUCAGUCGAAGAUACCAGCUGGCUGCAACUGUUUAUUAAAAACACAGCACUGUGCAAACACGAAAGUGGACGUAUACGGUGUGACGCCUGCCCGGUGCCGGAAGGUUAAUUGAUGGGGUCAGCGCAAGCGAAGCUCUUGAUCGAAGCCCCGGUAAACGGCGGCCGUAACUAUAACGGUCCUAAGGUAGCGAAAUUCCUUGUCGGGUAAGUUCCGACCUGCACGAAUGGCGUAAUGAUGGCCAGGCUGUCUCCACCCGAGACUCAGUGAAAUUGAACUCGCUGUGAAGAUGCAGUGUACCCGCGGCAAGACGGAAAGACCCCGUGAACCUUUACUAUAGCUUGACACUGAACAUUGAGCCUUGAUGUGUAGGAUAGGUGGGAGGCUUUGAAGUGUGGACGCCAGUCUGCAUGGAGCCGACCUUGAAAUACCACCCUUUAAUGUUUGAUGUUCUAACGUUGACCCGUGAUCCGGGUUGCGGACAGUGUCUGGUGGGUAGUUUGACUGGGGCGGUCUCCUCCUAAAGAGUAACGGAGGAGCACGAAGGUUGGCUAAUCCUGGUCGGACAUCAGGAGGUUAGUGCAAUGGCAUAAGCCAGCUUGACUGCGAGCGUGACGGCGCGAGCAGGUGCGAAAGCAGGUCAUAGUGAUCCGGUGGUUCUGAAUGGAAGGGCCAUCGCUCAACGGAUAAAAGGUACUCCGGGGAUAACAGGCUGAUACCGCCCAAGAGUUCAUAUCGACGGCGGUGUUUGGCACCUCGAUGUCGGCUCAUCACAUCCUGGGGCUGAAGUAGGUCCCAAGGGUAUGGCUGUUCGCCAUUUAAAGUGGUACGCGAGCUGGGUUUAGAACGUCGUGAGACAGUUCGGUCCCUAUCUGCCGUGGGCGCUGGAGAACUGAGGGGGGCUGCUCCUAGUACGAGAGGACCGGAGUGGACGCAUCACUGGUGUUCGGGUUGUCAUGCCAAUGGCACUGCCCGGUAGCUAAAUGCGGAAGAGAUAAGUGCUGAAAGCAUCUAAGCACGAAACUUGCCCCGAGAUGAGUUCUCCCUGACUCCUUGAGAGUCCUGAAGGAACGUUGAAGACGACGACGUUGAUAGGCCGGGUGUGUAAGCGCAGCGAUGCGUUGAGCUAACCGGUACUAAUGAACCGUGAGGCUUAACCUU
rnacentral:rRNA from 2 species